UUGUUUUUUAAGUCACUAAGUGAGGCUGCAAUUUGCCUUGGAUCUUGAUCUGUUGCUUUAUCGUAAGAACAUCUUUAAAAAGUAAGUUUUAGUGCUGGUCUUAUGAUAUAACAAUUGAUGUUUCCAGGGUAGUGACAGCAUCUAUUUUGAACAUUCCUAUUCUAAAAGGUGAAUUGAGUAAUUACUCGUUCAAUUCCAGUGGAUAGUCCAACGUUUCCUGGGGCAUGCCAUUGUAUGGCGGCUUACGUGGCAAGGUUGGUAGCAGUAGGGCUGCUGUGAGAAGAGGACCCAGCUGCAGAGACUAGAACAAAGAUUGGCCCGUAAGGCACCCAUGCUGGAACAGUCCACUUCUGAAGUGGUGCGAACCCAUGCUGAAGCAGUUCUUGGAGAACUGCAGCCUAUAGAAAGUACCUAUGCUGGAUCGGUUCAUGAAGGGCUGAAGCCUGUGGGAGCGACCCAGCACUGGAGAAGGGGAAAGUUGUGAGGAGGAAGAAGCAGCAAAGAUGAAGUGCUAAGAACUGUCCUCAACCCUGUUCACCAUCUUCCCUGUGCUGCUUGGGAAAGAGGAUGAUUGGAGUGAAGGGCAGGACUGUAUCUCCAGCUUUGAAUUCCUAUCCGGUCCUUCUAAAGAAAUUCUGUUGUGUUACUGACAGCUGAUGCAUGAAGUGAAGUUUGGUGACAGGACUUAAUGUUUUUAAUAACAUCAAAACUACUUGCAGGAAGAGAUUCUUAACAUUCAUUGUGAAAGGCUGAAGGUCGUGCAAUGUUGUACAGUCACUAAUGUUAUGAAGAUAGGAGUCUGCCCCCAGAAACUUGUGCUGCAGCGGCAAGACAGAACACACUCAGCACUGGGUGGGACUUGGAGAGCGUCCUGGGAAAGAGUAGGAGCUCCUGAAUCAGUGAAUCAUAUGAUAGCACAAAUCUCUAUCGGUGGAGCCUACAGCUGCAGACAAACCUUGAAGAAGGUCUCCUACAGCAGCAUGAAAGGCUGCUGACCAGAGGCCAUUAGAACAUGACUGGGAAGAGGAAGACUUGGCUGUGACUGGGCUGGUACCUUCACAGAAGGCCCUCGAACAACUGUUUAUUUCCAGAGUCUUCCCGGGUAACUCUGAAUGUAUUCCUCCUCUCAUGAAAGUAUAGCUACUUACAGUCUUGAGUCUAGGGGGAGAGAGGGAGUUGCAUGCUGACAUUUAAGUGCCCCUUUUUACUGUCUUGCCCUUCUUAUAAAAAAUGUCAUUUAAAAUUUAAAUUAUAACAUUAGUGAAAUCUUAUUAAAUUUAAUAUGAUUUAAAUUAAAAUAAAAUUGCUAAAAUCAUCAAGUUGUGCAGAAAAAAAAAUGCAUAAUAAAAAAUUAAAAUUAGAAAAGUCCUCAGGGAGGAGGGCCAUCAUAACCCUCUUUCCUUCUCUUCUACCCCACUUCUCCCAAAUGGCUAUAUUGUAUGCAGUCAAAUUCUUUAAGAACUCAUGCAGUUGAAAGAGGAAAAGACUUUUCUGUAUGCCAAUAAGUGCAAAAACAUGCGAUUGUAAAUGAAGAAAUUGAUAUGUAAAGGUUCAAUGAUUUGUUCAAAGAAUAAAUGAAGCUGGCAUUAGUCACUAUGUGUUGUUGCUUAUGUGCACAGAACUGGGCAUAUCUAUAUGGUGUUCAUAUUCUUAAACAAAUCGAUUGUUAGACAUUUAACAUGAACAGCUGCGAGUGAAAUAU